rnacentral:rRNA from 1 species
UACGUAGGGUGCAAGCGUUAAUCGGAAUUACUGGGCGUAAAGCGUGCGCAGGCGGUUUUGUAAGUCUGACGUGAAAUCCCCGGGCUCAACCUGGGAAUUGCGUUGGAGACUGCAAGGCUAGAAUCUGGCAGAGGGGGGUAGAAUUCCACGUGUAGCAGUGAAAUGCGUAGAUAUGUGGAGGAACACCGAUGGCGAAGGCAGCCCCCUGGGCUAAGAUUGACGCUCAUGCACGAAAGCGUGGGGAGCAAACAGG